GAUUGAACGCUGGCGGCAUGCCUUACACAUGCAAGUCGAACGGCAGCACGGAGCUUGCUCUGGUGGCGAGUGGCGAACGGGUGAGUAAUAUAUCGGAACGUACCCUACAGUGGGGGAUAACGUAGCGAAAGUUACGCUAAUACCGCAUACGAUCUAAGGAUGAAAGUGGGGGAUCGCAAGACCUCAUGCUCGUGGAGCGGCCGAUAUCUGAUUAGCUAGUUGGUAGGGUAAAAGCCUACCAAGGCAUCGAUCAGUAGCUGGUCUGAGAGGACGACCAGCCACACUGGAACUGAGACACGGUCCAGACUCCUACGGGAGGCAGCAGUGGGGAAUUUUGGACAAUGGGCGAAAGCCUGAUCCAGCAAUGCCGCGUGAGUGAAGAAGGCCUUCGGGUUGUAAAGCUCUUUUGUCAGGGAAGAAACGGUGAGAGCUAAUAUCUCUUGCUAAUGACGGUACCUGAAGAAUAAGCACCGGCUAACUACGUGCCAGCAGCCGCGGUAAUACGUACGGUGCAAGCGUUAAUCGGAAUUACUGGGCGUAAAGCGCGCGCAGGCGGUUUUGUAAGUCUGAUGUGAAAUCCCCGGGCUCAACCU
rnacentral:rRNA from 1 species